ACCAAUGGAAGAACCAUUAGUUCUAAGCAUUAUAGACAAGUUCUUGUUUGUAUAAGAACUCAAGUUCUUAAUUAAAUUCACAUUAAAGAAAGACUAAGUUGAGUGUUUAUGACUCCUUUCAAAGUUGACGGCUAAGCGUAUAUAUCUUUGGUUGGGUUAUAAAAGAUUAGCCACGUAUUCCCAAUAAACCCUAAUACUGUACUCUUCUUUUUUUAGUUCUUAUUUUCGUCUGGUAAAGAACUCUCUCACUAACUCUCCAAUGGACGGUAAAGUCCAGCCUCCACAACAUCAAGUUUUCAUCAAUUUUCGUGGGGAGGAGCUGCGCAACAGUUUCAUCAGCCAUCUCAUAGAUGCUUUACAAAGGAAUGGGAUAAAAAUACCUUUACAGACAAGGAAGAGAGCACGGGUGAAAAUAUAAGCUAUCUUUUCGAGAGGAUCAAAGAUUCGAAGAUUGCGCUAGCUGUGUUCUCGGAAAGGUACACAGAAUCAAGAUGGUGCUUGGAUGAGCUUGUGAAGAUAAGUGAACGUGCAGAUGUAGGCGAGCUUAAGGCAAUUCCUAUCUUCUACAAAGUGCCUACUGAAAGUGUGAAACAACUUGUGGGAGUGUUUGGUGACCAAUUUAGGCGUCGAGAAUGGGAAUAUCGGUAUGACCGUAUGAGCAAGAAAGGAUCAAUAGAUGGAAAGAGGCUGUGGCAUGUGUCUCUGGUAGGAUUGGGAUGGUGUUCGAUGAUAAAAGCUUGUCAGAGAGUGAUUUCAUUGGAAAUGUCUUCAAAAAGGUCUUGAUAUCAAUAGAGGAGAUAACCAAAAAACUCUCAUGUCGACAAACAUCCCGAAAGAGGAGAAACUUCAUUGAACAAGAAUUCUUAAAAAUCCCUUAAGGCUCAAAAGGGAAACCUAGAGAGUCAACCUAAACCUAAUGAGAUCAUAAGUUUCAAUGCAAGCAACUCUUUAGCUCCUCAAUACAUUUCCUCAGGACACGGUCAAACCCUGGUACAAGGCAGUCGUAUCACAAUUCAAUUUGCACAAGCAGCUUCUCCAGCUAACGCAUUGCCACUCGGUGUGCAACCAGUACAAGGCCCUCAUAUAGGGGUGGUUCAACCUAGCCAUGCCUCAGGUUUCACCAGUACAAGACCACCAUAUGACGGCUUUCCAGUUAGACAUGGCAACCAUAAAAUUAAGGGGAAAGGAGAUUCUUCUACUAUGACCAACAAUACUAAGAAACCCAACAAGUCUUCAAAGAGUAACCUGGAAUAUGACGGCUUUCCAAUGAGAUAUGGCAACCAUGAAAAUGGGGGAAGAGGAGAAACUUCUUCUAUGACCAACAACAAUACUAAGAAACCCAGCAAGUCUUCAAAGAGUAACCUCCAAUUUAUUGGGACAAAUGGGUGGGCUGAAGAUACAAAAAAUAGAACCCUUGAAGGACUUAAAAAAGGGAAAGUUGUGUCAGAUUUCAUUAGAACUUGAUUUUGCUUAAAUUUGCUGUAUAUAAGACCUUCCAUAUCAAUAUCAACGUUGGAGUGAGAUGAUU